rnacentral:rRNA from 1 species
CCUACGGGAGGCAGCAGUGGGGAAUAUUGCACAAUGGGGGAAACCCUGAUGCAGCGACGCCGCGUGAAGGAAGAAGUAUUUCGGUAUGUAAACUUCUAUCAGCAGGGAAGAAAAUGACGGUACCUGACUAAGAAGCCCCGGCUAACGACGUGCCAGCAGCCGCGGUAAUACGUAGGGGGCAAGCGUUAUCCGGAUUUACUGGGUGGAAAGGGAGCGGAGGCGGGGCAGCAAGUCAGAAGUGAAAGCCCGGGGCUCAACUCCGGGACUGCUUUUGAAACUGUUGAGCUAGAUUGCAGGAGAGUUUAGUGGAAUUCCUCGUGUAGCGGUGAAAUGCGUAGCUAUUAGGAGGAACACCAGUGGCG